GGGGGGGGGGGGGGGGGGGGGGGAGGGGGGCAGGGCGAAGGGGAGGGCGGGCUGCGGCGUGGCGGCGAGUGGCGAACGGGGGAGUAAUGCAUCGGAACGUGCCCAGGAGUGGGGGAGAGCUCGGCGAAAGCCGGAUGAAUCCCGCAUACGACCUGAGGGGGAGAGCGGGGGAUCUUCGGACCUCGCGCCAUUGGAGCGGCCGAUGGCAGAUUAGCUAGUUGGUGGGGUAAAGGCCUACCAAGGCGACGAUCUGUAGCUGGUCUGAGAGGACGACCAGCCACACUGGGACUGAGACACGGCCCAGACUCCUACGGGAGGCAGCAGUGGGGAAUUUUGGACAAUGGGCGAAAGCCUGAUCCAGCAAUGCCGCGUGUGUGAUGAAGGCCUUCGGGUUGUAAAGCACUUUUGGCGGGAACGAAAAGGACUGUGCCAAUACCACGGUUCGAUGACGGUACCCGCAGAAUAAGCACCGGCUAACUACGUG
rnacentral:rRNA from 1 species